AACGAACGCUGGCGGCAUGCCUAACACAUGCAAGUCGAACGAGACCUUCGGGUCUAGUGGCGCACGGGUGCGUAACGCGUGGGAAUCUGCCCUUGGGUUCGGAAUAACAGUUGGAAACGACUGCUAAUACCGGAUGAUGACGUAAGUCCAAAGAUUUAUCGCCCAAGGAUGAGCCCGCGUAGGAUUAGCUAGUUGGUGAGGUAAAGGCUCACCAAGGCGACGAUCCUUAGCUGGUCUGAGAGGAUGAUCAGCCACACUGGGACUGAGACACGGCCCAGACUCCUACGGGAGGCAGCAGUGGGGAAUAUUGGACAAUGGGCGAAAGCCUGAUCCAGCAAUGCCGCGUGAGUGAUGAAGGCCUUAGGGUUGUAAAGCUCUUUUACCCGGGAUGAUAAUGACAGUACCAGGAGAAUAAGCGCCGGCUAACUCCGUG
rnacentral:rRNA from 1 species